UACGAAGGGGGCUAGCGUUGUUCGGAAUUACUGGGCGUAAAGCGCACGUAGGCGGAUAUUUAAGUCAGGGGUGAAAUCCCGGGGCUCAACCCCGGAACUGCCUUUGAUACUGGGUAUCUUGAGUAUGGAAGAGGUAAGUGGAAUUGCGAGUGUAGAGGUGAAAUUCGUAGAUAUUCGCAAGAACACCAGUGGCGAAGGCGGCUUACUGGUCCGGUUCUGACGCUGAGGCGCGAAAGCGUGGGGAGCAAACAGG
rnacentral:rRNA from 1 species